AGGGGAGUGAAAAAGAACCUGAAACCGUGUACGUACAAGCAGUGGGAGCCCCACCACCAAAGCAUUCUCUGGUGUUGAAGGCCCUGCAAAGCAGCAUCGCGGUGGCGGAGCGUCGUUUGCGACGCCCAACACACAAAACAAGCGGUGAGUGCUUUGGGGUGGGGUGACUGCGUACCUUUUGUAUAAUGGGUCAGCGACUUAUAUUCUGUAGCAAGGUUAACCGUAUAGGGGAGCCGAAGGGAAACCGAGUCUUAACUGGGCGUUAAGUUGCAGGGUAUAGACCCGAAACCCGGUGAUCUAGCCAUGGGCAGGUUGAAGGUUGGGUAACACUAACUGGAGGACCGAACCGACUAAUGUUGAAAAAUUAGCGGAUGACUUGUGGCUGGGGGUGAAAGGCCAAUCAAACCGGGAGAUAGCUGGUUCUCCCCGAAAGCUAUUUAGGUAGCGCCUCGUGAACUCAUCUUCGGGGGUAGAGCACUGUUUCGGCUAGGGGGUCAUCCCGACUUACCAACCCGAUGCAAACUGCGAAUACCGAAGAAUGUUAUCACGGGAGACACACGGCGGGUGCUAACGUCCGUCGUGAAGAGGGAAACAACCCAGACCGCCAGCUAAGGUCCCAAAGUCACAGUUAAGUGGGAAACGAUGUGGGAAGGCUCAGACAGCCAGGAUGUUGGCUUAGAAGCAGCCAUCAUUUAAAGAAAGCGUAAUAGCUCACUGGUCGAGUCGGCCUGCGCGGAAGAUGUAACGGGGCUAAACUGUGCACCGAAGCUGCGGCAGCGACGCUUAUGCGUUGUUGGGUAGGGGAGCGUUCUGUAAGCCUGCGAAGGUGUCCUGUGAGGGAUGCUGGAGGUAUCAGAAGUGCGAAUGCUGACAUAAGUAACGAUAAUGCGGGUGAAAAGCCCGCUCGCCGGAAGACCAAGGGUUCCUGUCCAACGUUAAUCGGGGCAGGGUGAGUCGACCCCUAAGGCGAGGCCGAAAGGCGUAGUCGAUGGGAAACGGGUUAAUAUUCCCGUACUUGGUGUUACUGCGAAGGGGGGACGGAGAAGGCUAUGUUGGCCGGGCGACGGUUGUCCCGGUUUAAGCGUGUAGGCUGGUUUUCCAGGCAAAUCCGGAAAAUCAAGGCUGAGGCGUGAUGACGAGGCACUACGGUGCUGAAGCAACAAAUGCCCUGCUUCCAGGAAAAGCCUCUAAGCAUCAGGUAACAUCAAAUCGUACCCCAAACCGACACAGGUGGUCAGGUAGAGAAUACCAAGGCGCUUGAGAGAACUCGGG
rnacentral:rRNA from 1 species